rnacentral:rRNA from 1 species
CGGGUGAGUAACACGUGGGUAACCUGCCCAAGAGACUGGGAUAACACCUGGAAACAGAUGCUAAUACCGGAUAACAACACUAGACGCAUGUCUAGAGUUUGAAAGAUGGUUCUGCUAUCACUCUUGGAUGGACCUGCGGUGCAUUAGCUAGUAGGUAAGGUAACGGCUUACCAAGGCAAUGAUGCAUAGCCGAGUUGAGAGACUGAUCGGCCACAUUGGGACUGAGACACGGCCCAAACUCCUACGGGAGGCAGCAGUAGGGAAUCUUCCACAAUGGACGAAAGUCUGAUGGAGCAACGCCGCGUGAGUGAAGAAGGGUUUCGGCUCGUAAAGCUCUGUUGGUAGUGAAGAAAGAUAGAGGUAGUAACUGGCCUUUAUUUGACGGUAAUUACUUAGAAAGUCACGGCUAACUACGUGCCAGCAGCCGCGGUAAUACGUAGGUGGCAAGCGUUGUCCGGAUUUAUUGGGCGUAAAGCGAGUGCAGGCGGUUCAAUAAGUCUGAUGUGAAAGCCUUCGGCUCAACCGGAGAAUUGCAUCAGAAACUGUUGAACUUGAGUGCAGAAGAGGAGAGUGGAACUCCAUGUGUAGCGGUGGAAUGCGUAGAUAUAUGGAAGAACACCAGUGGCGAAAGCGGCUCUCUGGUCUGCAACUGACGCUGAGGCUCGAAAGCAUGGGUAGCGAACAGGAUUAGAUACCCUGGUAGUCCAUGCCGUAAACGAUGAGUGCUAAGUGUUGGGAGGUUUCCGCCUCUCAGUGCUGCAGCUAAC